rnacentral:rRNA from 1 species
GAAUAGACUACCCGGGUAGUCCACGCCGUAAACGAUGAGUGCUAAGUGUUAGGGGGUUUCCGCCCCUUAGUGCUGCAGCUAACGCAUUAAGCACUCCGCCUGGGGAGUACGGCCGCAAGGCUGAAACUCAAAGGAAUUGACGGGGGCCCGCACAAGCGGUGGAGCAUGUGGUUUAAUUCGAAGCAACGCGAAGAACCUUACCAGGUCUUGACAUCUCCUGACCGCCCUGGAGACAGGGUCUUCCCUUCGGGGACAGGAUGACAGGUGGUGCAUGGUUGUCGUCAGCUCGUGUCGUGAGAUGUUGGGUUAAGUCCCGCAACGAGCGCAACCCUUGUCCUUAGUUGCCAGCAUUCAGUUGGGCACUCUAAGGAGACUGCCGGCUAAAAGUCGGAGGAAGGUGGGGAUGACGUCAAAUCAUCAUGCCCCUUAUGACCUGGGCUACACACGUGCUACAAUGAGCGGUACAGAGGGUCGCGAACCCGCGAGGGGGGAGCCGAAUCCCAAAAAACCGCUCUCAGUUCGGAUUGCAGG